UACGAGGGGGGGCAAGCGUUGUUCGGAAUUAUUGGGCGUAAAGGGUGCGUAGGCGGUCUGACAAGUCUGAUGUGAAAUCUCCUGGCUCAACUGGGAGCUUGCAGGCGAAACUGCCGUGCUGGAGUGUGGGAGAGGUGCGUGGAAUUCCCGGUGUAGCGGUGAAAUGCGUAGAUAUCGGGGAGGAACACCUGUGGCGAAAGCGGCGCACUGGACCACAACUGACGCUGAGGCGCGAAAGCUAGGGGAGCAAACAGG
rnacentral:rRNA from 1 species